rnacentral:tRNA from 1 species
GGUGGCUCAGUGGUAGAGCGCUUGUCUUGCAUGCAUGAGGUCCUAGGUUCGAUUCCCCAGCACCA